rnacentral:rRNA from 1 species
GUGGGGAAUCUUAGACAAUGGGGGAAACCCUGAUCUAGCCAUGCCGCGUGAGCGAUGAAGGCCUUAGGGUUGUAAAGCUCUUUCAGCUGGGAAGAUAAUGACGGUACCAGCAGAAGAAGCCCCGGCUAACUCCGUGCCAGCAGCCGCGGUAAUACGGAGGGGGCUAGCGUUGUUCGGAAUUACUGGGCUUAAAGAGCGCGUAGGCGGACCAGAAAGUUGGAGGUGACAUCCCAGGGCUCAACCUUGGAACUGCCUUCAAAACUCCUGGUCUGGAGUUCGAGAGAGGUGAGUGGAAUUCCGGGUGUAGAGGUGAAAGUCGUAGAUAUUCGGAGGAACACCAGUGGCGAAGGCGGCUCACUGGCUCGAUACUGACGCUGAGGUGCGAAAGCGUGGGGAGCAAACAGGAUUAGAAACCCGAGUAGUCC